rnacentral:rRNA from 1 species
UACGAAGGGUGCAAGCGUUAUCCGGAAUUAUUGGGCGUAAAGCGUCCGCAGGUGGCUCUGUAAGUCUGUCGUUAAAGAAUGGGGCUCAACCCCAUACAGGCGAUGGAAACUACAAGGCUAGAGUUUGGUAGGGGUCACGGGAAUUCCUAGUGUAGCGGUGAAAUGCGUAGAUAUUAGGAAGAACACCAGCGGCGAAAGCGCGUGACUGGGCCAGUACUGACACUCAUGGACGAAAGCUAGGGGAGCGAAGGGG